rnacentral:rRNA from 1 species
GGGUUGUGAGGUUAAGUGACUAAGCGUACACGGUGGAUGCCCUGGCAGUCAGAGGCGAUGAAGGACGUGCUAAUCUGCGAUAAGCGUCGGUAAGGUGAUAUGAACCGUUAUAACCGGCGAUUUCCGAAUGGGGAAACCCAGUGUGUUUCGACACACUAUCAUUAACUGAAUCCAUAGGUUAAUGAGGCGAACCGGGGGAACUGAAACAUCUAAGUACCCCGAGGAAAAGAAAUCAACCGAGAUUCCCCCAGUAGCGGCGAGCGAACGGGGAGCAGCCCAGAGCCUGAAUCAGUGUGUGUGUUAGUGGAAGCGUCUGGAAAGGCGCGCGAUACAGGGUGACAGCCCCGUACACAAAAAUGCACAUGCUGUGAGCUCGAUGAGUAGGGCGGGACACGUGGUAUCCUGUCUGAAUAUGGGGGGACCAUCCUCCAAGGCUAAAUACUCCUGACUGACCGAUAGUGAACCAGUACCGUGAGGGAAAGGCGAAAAGAAC